rnacentral:rRNA from 1 species
CCUACGGGCGGCAGCAGUGAGGAAUAUUGGUCAAUGGCCGAGAGGCUGAACCAGCCAAGUCGCGUGAGGGAAGACGGCCCUACGGGUUGUAAACUUCUUUUGUCGGGGAGCAAAGCGAGUCACGUGUGACUCAUUGAGAGUACCCGAAGAAAAAGCAUCGGCUAACUCCGUGCCAGCAGCCGCGGUAAUACGGAGGAUGCGAGCGUUAUCCGGAUUUAUUGGGUUUAAAGGGUGCGCAGGCGGAGGUGCAAGUCAGCGGUCAAAUUGCGGGGCUCAACCCCGUACUGCAGUUGAUACUGCAUGCCUUGAGUACGCGAGAAGUAGGCGGAAUGCGUGGUGUAGCGGUGAAAUGCAUAGAUAUCACGCAGAACUCCGAUUGCGAAGGCAGCAUACCGGCGCGCAACUGACGCUCAUGCACGAAAGCGUGGGUAUCGAACAGGAUUAGAUACCCGAGUAGUC